CUGGUCUCCACCCAAGUUCGGGGGGAAAUCGCGGUCUUUUCCUUAUUGCAGUAAAAGUUCGCAGUGAGGAAACAAUACCGUAUCACUCUCGUGAUUAUUUCUCCCCUUUUUCAGGGGCGUAACAGAAACUGGGCUUAUUUAGCAGAAAAACUCCCUUGGAAAUAUGGAACCACGUGAGCAGACAAAGUGGGGAAGGGGGAUAAUGUUUCCAUGAUGAAAUUUUAUCCCUGAAUAAACAGGAUUGACAACUAAAGUCACCUUGUGCAAACCAGAGCCAAAAAUGGAGGGGAUAAUUGUUGUAUUAAUCAAAGAGGGGAAAAAUGACUGAUGUGUUGGGGGUGACUGGUCUGUAAUUUGUCUCUUUAGAGGCUUUGGCUGGGUCCUGAGCUUGAUCCAAAGUUAUGGCCUUUUACCCAGACUACAUUAUUUUUCCACCUGCAAACCGCAAAGGAAAAUCUCCUCUGCUCUGUAUAUUGAUGUCUAGUGAGAAUACCCAGUCGUUCUCACCUGGAACACUGCCAGAAAUGCCUUCCUCCCUAGCUCAUGUACAAUGACAGACUGAUGCUAAAGAAGUAAACCCUCUGAAUAAUUUCCCUAGGAUUAAGAGACCAUGACAGAUCGGUCAUAGAUAAUUCUACACUGUUCAGCAAAAUACUGUAUAUACUUCUACCACUGGAUUUGGCUGUGAAAUAUAUACUGUUGGGGUAAGAACCGCAAUAUGUGCCAAUGCCAUGCAUUAGACAUUUGGAACUUUGAACUAGGGCUGUGGCGGUCAUGAAAUGUUGACUGCUGGUUACUGUCAUGCAAAAGACUGCCGGUCUCAUGGUAACUGCCCGUUAAUAAACAUAAACAUGUAUAGCAUCUCCAGGCCUCCACGCAUACAAACCGCAUACAAAUGCUGACGAUCUGAAAAUUGUCUACCAAUGAUCAACAACCAAUUUGACAGAGCUUGAAGAAUUUUGAAAAGAAUAAUGGACAAAUGUUGCACAAUCCAGGUGUGGAAAGCGCUUAGAGACUUGCCCAGAAAAACUCACAGCUGUAAUAGCUGCCAUAGGUACUUCUACAAAGUAUUCCGGUGUGGCUCAGUUGGUAGAGCAUGGCGUUUGCAACGCCAGGGUUGUGGGUUCGAUUCCCACGGGGGACCAGUACGGAAGAAAAAAAAUGUAUGAAAUGUAUGCAUUCACUACUGGAAGUCGCUCUGGAUAAGAGCGUCUGCUAAAAUGUAAAUGUAAAAAAUGUAUUGACUCGCAGGUGUGAAUAGUUAUGUAAAUUAGAUAUUUUAGUAUUUUAUUUUCAAUAAAUUUGCAAUCAUUUCUAAAACAUGUUUUCACAUUGUCAUUAUGGGGUAUUGUGUGGAGAUGGGUGACAAAAACAAUCUAUUUGAUACCAUUUUUAUUGAG
rnacentral:lncRNA from 1 species